CCCCCUCCCUCUAGCUGGGUUUGUCAAGUCGCCCAUGUCAGAAACUAAGCUCACGGGGGACGCCUUUGAGCUGUACUGUGACGUGGUCGGGAGCCCCACGCCAGAGAUCCAGUGGUGGUACGCAGAAGUCAACCGGGCAGAGUCUUUCAGACAGCUGUGGGACGGUGCUCGGAAGCGCCGUGUCACCGUAAACACCGCCUACGGGUCAAACGGCGUGAGUGUGCUGAGAAUAACCCGGCUCACCUUGGAGGACUCUGGGACUUACGAGUGCAGGGCCAGCAACGACCCCAAGAGGAAUGACUUGAGGCAAAACCCUUCUAUAACAUGGAUUCGAGCCCAGGCCACCAUAAGCGUCCUUCAGAAGCCAAAGAUUGUCACCAGUGAAGAGGUCAUUAUAAAGGAAAGCCCUGGCCCCAUCACCCUGCAGUGUAACCUCACCUCCAGCUCUCAUACCCUUACAUUCAGCUACUGGACAAAGAAUGGGGUAGAACUGACUGCCACUCGUAAGAAUGCCAGCAACAUGGAAUACAGGAUUAAUAAGCCGAGAGCUGAGGAUUCAGGCGAAUACCACUGUGUAUAUCAUUUUUUCAGCGCGCCUAAAGCAAAUGCCACCAUUGAAGUAAAAGCUGCUCCUGAUAUCACUGGCCAUAAACGGAGUGAGAACAAGAAUGAAGGGCAGGAUGCCAUGAUGUACUGCAAGUCAGUUGGCUACCCUCACCCAGAGUGGAUAUGGCGCAAGAAGGAGAAUGGUAUGCUCGUGGACAUUGUCAAUUCCUCUGGUCGCUUCUUCAUUAUCAACAAGGAGAAUUACACUGAGCUGAGUAUUACGAAUCUCCAGAUCACAGAAGACCCGGGCGAGUAUGAAUGUAACGCAACCAACCUUAUUGGCACUGCCUCCAUUGUCACAGUCCUCAGGGUACGGAGUCACCUGGCCCCACUCUGGCCUUUCUUGGGAAUUUUGGCUGAAAUCAUAAUCCUUGUGGUGAUCAUUGUUGUGUAUGAGAAGAGGAAGAGGCCAGAUGAGGUUCCUGACGAUGAUGAACCAGCUGGACCAAUGAAAACCAACUCUACCAACAAUCACAAAGACAAAAACUUGCGCCAGAGAAACACAAAUUAAGUACUGCUUACAAUAUCUUUAGGUUCCUGAAACUGGUGGCAUCAUGACCUGCUCAAUUUUCUGCUUGGACCUCUUUGGUCUCUCUCCUUCAAGUGAGCAACACCACAAUGACCGUCUAAAGCAUGCCUUAUUUAGCCUCUCCUGUAAGGGUGACCUAGCCAGCCUGGUGUCCUCAACCACUCUGAUCUGAUUCAACUCCUAACCCCAGUGCAAAUGGGAGCAUUAUCAAGUCUAUGCUGCUCCUGGACACAGAAGCACAGUGG